AAAUUGCACAUUUUUAUCAACACUAAAUUGAAAUUAGAUUUUGUUCUGAAGUGGCUUAUUAUCAAUUUCCUACUGAUGUGGGUUCAAUUUCCGAUGUGUUAGUGGCCAAGGGUAUUGAUCGAAAGUUUGAUGUGGUUUAGUUUUGUUGCAAAUUCAACGAUGAGCAUGCAUAAAAAUUCAAAAAAUCAAUUAUUUUGAAGUGGGUCAUGAUCUAUCUUCAGUUUCACAUGAUUUCUGCAUCGUUUGUAUUUCAUAUUUAUAGGUGUGUUCUCAACUUUGCUAGGAUAUUUUUUGACUUUUGUGUCUAUAAAAUAUUUCAUGUUUGUGGGAGUUUGUUCUUGCAUCUAUUGGUUCGUUUUCAAAUGAACGAUGUUCUUUCAUUGAACUUGAUUCCAGAAAUUGUGCUCUUAACAUGGGUCAAAGUUUGCUUAACUAAAUUGCUGACUUUUUAGGUUUUCUCAAUGUAGGACAUUAGUGUCUUAUUAAGCUCAACAAAUGUUUGAAGCGAAAAUUAUCAAAAUUGGUAAUGCAAUUAAAGACAUUUUAAGUAAGAAGUGCGGGUGGAUCAUGGAGUUUUAAUCAAGG
rnacentral:misc_RNA from 1 species